CACUUCUAAGGAAGGCAGCAGGCGCGCAAAUUACCCAAUCCUGACUCAGGGAGGUAGUGACAAGAAAUAACAAUAAACCGGCUUAUGCCGGUUUAAUUGGAAUGAGUACAAUUUAAACAUCUUAACGAGGAACAAUUGGAGGGCAAGUCUAGUGCCAGCAGCCGCGGUAAUUCCAGCUCCAAUAGCGUAUACUAAAGUUGUUGCAGUUAAAAAGCUCGUAGUUGGAUUUCUGUGGGGACGGAGCGGCCGGCCGCAACUCGCGGUUCGAGCUAGCGCUUUCCCUACAUCCUGCCGCGAACCGUGCUACCAUUAAUUUGGUGGCGCCGGGGAUCGGCUCGAUUACUUUGAGAAAAAUAGAGUGUUCAAAGCAGGCCACACGCCUUGAAUAAGUUAGCAUGGAAUAAUAACUAAGGACUUCGGUUCUAUUUUGUUGGUGUUCGGGACUGAAGUAAUGAUUGAUAGGGACAGUUGGGGCGGUCUGUAUUCCAAAGCGAGAGGUGAAAUUCUUAGACCUUCGGAAGACAAACAGCUGCGAAAGCGUUCCGCAAGGAUGUUCCCUUUGAUCAAGAACGAAAGUUGGGGGAUCGAAGACGAUCAGAUACCGUCGUAGUCUCAACUAUAAACUAUACCAGCUAGGGAUCGGCCAACGUUAUUUAAACCGACUUGGUCGGCACCUUAUGAGAAAUCAAAGCAUCUGGGUUCCGGGGGGAGUAUGGUCGCAAGGCUGAAACUUAAAGGAAUUGACGGAAGGGCACCACCAGCCGUGGAGCCUGUGGCUUAAUUUGACUCAACACGGGAAAACUUACCAGGUCCAGACAUAGUAGGGAUUGACAGAUUGAUAGCUCUUUCUUGAUUCUGUGGGUGGUGGUGCAUGGCCGUUCUUAGUUGGUGGAGUGAUUUGUCUGGUUAAUUCCGUUAACGAACGAGACCCCAGCCUGCUAAAUAGCGCGUGUGAGCUUUGCUCGCAGCGAGCUUCUUAGAGGGACUAUGAUGCGCGAUAGCACAUGGAAGUUUGGGGCAAUAACAGGUCUGUGAUGCCCUUAGAUGUUCUGGGCCGCACACGGGCUACACUGGCGCCUGCAACGAGCAUAUCAGCUGGCCCGAGAGGGUCUUGGCUAAUCUUUUGAACCGGCGCCGUGCUUGGGAUUGACCUUUGCAAUUGUUGGUCAUGCAACGAGGAAUGCCUUGUAAACGCGAGUCAUCAGCUCGCAUUGAAUACGUCCCUGCCCUUUGUACACACCGCCCGUCGCUCCUACCGAUGAAUGUUCCGAUGAAAUUUUCGGAGAGUGCCUGUGAACUUGGCUCUGCCUUGCGAACGGGAAGCUCAAAGUCACUUAAAUCUGAACAUUUC
rnacentral:rRNA from 1 species